CAUCGGGAAUAUCGUGUCCGUCC
rnacentral:miRNA from 19 species